rnacentral:rRNA from 1 species
AUUGAACGCUGGCGGCAGGCCUAACACAUGCAAGUCGAACGAGUGGCGGACGGGUGAGUAAUGUCUGGGAAACUGCCUGGUGGAGGGGGAUAACUACUGGAAACGGUAGCUAAUACCGCAUACCAUCAGAUGUGCCCAGAUGGGAUUAGCGAGUUGGUGGGGUAACGGCUCACCAAGGCGACGAUCCCUAGCUGGUCUGAGAGGAUGACCAUCCACACUGUAACUGAGACACGGCCCCGCCUCCUCCGUGAGGCCGCAGGGUGGAUUAUUGCACAAUGGGCGCAAGCCUGAUGCAGCAAUGCCGCGUGUAUGAAGAAGGCCUUCGGGUUGUAAAGUACUUUCAGCGGGGAGGCGUUACCCGCAGAAGAAGCACCGGCUAACUCCGUGCCAGCAGCCGCGGUAAUAC